rnacentral:rRNA from 1 species
UCUCUGCCGUAUUCCUAAAUACAACCCCAAUCCUCCACCAAUACUGAGUAAUUCUAUACUACUAUAGAAAAUUUUAUGUUAAAACUAGUAACAAGAAGAAAAUCCUUCUCUCAAAUGUAAAUGUAAAUCAGAAAGGACAGACCACUGAUAUUUAACGCAUCUGAACUAAAAUAAUAACCCACCAAGAAAACCUUACUUCACCUAACGUUAACCUAACACAAGAACAUUUCAAGAAAGAUCAAAAGAAAAAGAAGGAACUCGGCAAACAUUAACCCCGCCUGUUUACCAAAAACAUCGCCUCUUGAAUUCCAAUAAGAGGUCCAGCCUGCCCAGUGACUUUGUUCAACGGCCGCGGUAUCCUAACCGUGCGAAGGUAGCGUAAUCACUUGUUCUUUAAAUGAGGACUAGUAUGAAUGGCUUCACGAGGGUUACACUGUCUCCUUUUUCUGAUCAGUGAAACUAAUCUCUCCGUGAAGAAGCGGAGAUAAACCUAUAAGACGAGAAGACCCUAUGGAGCUUUAAACAAUAUAGCAUCUGCCUGCCGUACAAAAAAUUCCAGAGUCCCUUAAUCCAUUGGACAGAAUGACUAUAAGUUUUUGGUUGGGGUGACCACGGAGCAUAAUACAACCUCCGCGCUGAAUGAAUUUUUUUUCUAAACCAAGAGCUACAACUCUAAGUAUCAAUAUAUUGACAGCCAUUGACCCAAUACACUUGAACAACGAACCAAGUUACCCUAGGGAUAACAGCGCAAUCCACUUCAAGAGCUCCUAUCGACAAGUGGGUUUACGACCUCGAUGUUGGAUCAGGGUCUCCCAGUG